rnacentral:rRNA from 1 species
AAGGCUUGACAUAUAGGGAAAAGCGGCAGAGAUGUCGUGUCCGCAAGGGCUCUAUACAGGUGGUGCAUGGUUGUCGUCAGCUCGUGUCGUGAGAUGUUGGGUUAAGUCCCGCAACGAGCGCAACCCUCGUUCUGUGUUGCCAGCAUUUAGUUGGGGACUCACAGGAGACUGCCGGGGUUAACUCGGAGGAAGGUGGGGAUGACGUCAAAUCAUCAUGCCCCUUAUGUCUUGGGCUGCACGCAUGCUACAAUGGCCGAUACAAAGGGCUGCGAUACCGUAAGGUGGAGCGAAUCCCAAAAAGUCGGUCUCAGUUCGGAUUGAGGUCUGCAACUCGACCUCAUGAAGUCGGAGUUGCUAGUAAUCGUAGAUCAGCAACG